GCGCUGACCAAACUCGCAACAAAAGCUCCCUUUUUGCAAAUUGUGCGAAGGACGUUCUUAAUCAAGGGAUCCCUGCAAAAUAACUCUUUAGAAGUCGAAUAAGGACAGUAAGUUUUGAUUCCAACCAACAGCUUCAACAUCAGAAGAAUUAACUCGAAAGGCUUUCACGGAUAGCAACUAUGCAACGCUAUGGCUGAAGAAAAAUUAGGUAUGCAACAGCAACUUAAGUACGGUGUCACUGGUAAGACUAUAUGUUCAACUUGAAAAUCGAUUGUAAUAUCAUUAUUUUGUUUUGUAUUUGAAAAAGUGAUACAAAUUAAAGCACAAAUUAAUUCAA